UGUCCUCUGUGCUGGUGCUCCUCUUCCAUCAACAAAUAACCAGCUGAGGGCUGAACUGCCGCCAUUCAGCUCACAGAUAUUCCUAGCAGGGGUUGGGCCUUACACAGAUGUUACCCGGACAAUUUGCCCGGUUUUCCAAAAAAGGAAAACCAGGCAGGAUCUCCCCGGAUUGACAUGGCAAAUAGCCAAUCUCUGAUCGCCACAUCAUAGACCAGCCCCUUUGACAUUUCCCAUCUCGACCACAACAUCACUGACCAAGCCCGGUGUUGUCGUGGCCCCGCCCACUACCCGGAUUGUGAGCCACGUGAAGGUGGAAACUCUAGAGCAGCAUCUAACUGGUUGGCUGAUCCCGAUGAGAUCAUCAAGAUGAUUACAGCGUAUAUUUCGGAAUAUGCUAACACUAAUUGGCUAAUGGAACUGGUUACCUUGAUUGAACAAUUGCAUUAUUAUAAUGACUAUGAAGAUUUUCAUUCAUCCAGGUCAUGGUAUCUCUAGUAUAGGUAAUUCUAAAACAACUGGACUUGCUGAGUAAUCAUUGAAGACGUUUCACUACUCAUCCGAGCAGCUUCUUCAGUACAACUGACUGGUGAGGGAAAUUCUCGGCAUAUAAACUCUUCCACUAAUUCAAUCACAAUGGCACAUUGUAACCCUUCAAAGAGGUGACAUUAUUAUAAUGAACGAUUAAUUGACUUCAUUGACUCAAUUGACUUCACUCAAGCCUAAAUUCUUCAAGGACUUGGCAGAGGAGUGGAUGUUCAGAGGUUUGCCAAUAUAAAAGGGAAACCAUUCUUGGACUUAAAGAAGGAAAUAAUUUGGAUCAGAGUUUGGUGAAAAAUCCUUUGAAAGUCGUGGAGAGAAUUGUGAAAGAGGUUCACUUGAGUAUCGUGAGAGGACUCCUGAUCCUUGGUGGCAGCUUACUCUGAGCAUUUCAUAUGGACUGCUGAGCAGGAGCUUAUCAGAUGGUGACUUUAGUCCCUGGCCUGCUAUAUUUUUGAAUUUCCGUCUUCCUGUCAUCACAAAAAGCGUUUGAUCUGUUGGGACUAUUCAGUGGUUCAUCUCGUGGAACUUCAUUGGAACAGAGAUUAAUUAAAAACUACAUUUGAUGAAGGCAAAGCUGUUAGUGCUGCAAGGCAUUUGCAUAUUCUUCUGUGUUGUUUGUACAGGCAGUAAACAUUAUUAAUUUGGCAGCAUGUAAGGAAAUAAGUAAAUAUUGUAUAUGUUCUUGUUUAAUUGUAGGCAAGUCAGCUGUGCAACAAUAGAGAUGGCAAUGGGCGCUGGGGAAACCAUAAUUAGGACCCAAUGUACCUUGUAAAGAGAAUGGGGCCCAUCAGCCUUUGGGAUCUCUUUCAGAGUUCUAAAGACAAGACCUAUUUAAAUUUGCUGUAUUAUUAAAUAUGUUUUUAUUGAUCUGCUCCUCACAGAAGUUUUAUGCUGUCCCCUCUUUUAUCUUGAAUGGUUAAUGCCUCAAUAUUUUCAAUUCCGACAGUUUUCACCAAGGAGAUGCUCUAAUGCCGGGUCUUUUAGAUGUAAACCACUAAACUCAAUAGGAGGUGGCAGCAGUAGAGUAUGCACCAGCUGAGAAACACUGCCCAUUAGCCUAAACCUUCAACUGAAUCCUGAAAGGGAAUGGGUGAGUGUUUCCAGCUAAGAGAUCAGAUUAGUAAACAAUGGAAAGAAAAAGAUGUCUACUGCGUAUUGAAAAAAAUGUUUUACUGGAGAAAAAUCAGUUGAGAAACUCUGUUUCUUGACUGAUUUACGUUCUUCAUUCUAUUGAUAUAUUUGAUUAGUUCAGUUUUUAGUGUUUCUACUCAGGUAUUUGUAUAUAUAGCUUUUAAUACACUGACCUCUCAGCAUAAGAAAUGUGUAAGUAGACACAGACACUUCCACAGACGCAGUGUUUCCCAUUUCCAUGGCAAGUCUCACUCAUGUUCCUCUUCCUUUAAAAUAACUACUUUAGGAAAUAAAAGUUAAGUAAAGUAGUAUCUAUAAAUAGUGAUGGGCGAAUUUGCGCCGUUUCGCUUCGCCGGAAAAUUUGCGAAAUUCGC